UACGAAGGGUGCAAGCGUUACGCGGAAUUACUGGGCGUAAAGCGUGCGUAGGUGGUUCGUUAAGUCUGAUGUGAAAGCCCUGGGCUCAACCUGGGAAUGGCAUUGGAUACUGGCGACCUAGAGUGCGGUAGAGGGGUGUGGAAUUCCCGGUGUAGCAGUGAAAUGCGUAGAUAUCGGGAGGAACAUCUGUGGCGAAGGCGACACCCUGGACCAGCACUGACACUGAGGCACGAAAGCGUGGGGAGCAAACAGG
rnacentral:rRNA from 1 species